UACGUAGGGUGCAGGCGUUAAUCGGAAUUACUGGGCGUAAAGCGUGCGCAGGCGGUUUGCUAAGACAGGUGUGAAAUCCCCGGGCUCAACCUGGGAAUGGCGAUGGUGACUGCAAGGCUAGAGUUUGGCAGAGGGGGGUAGAAUUCCACGUGUAGCAGUGAAAUGCGUAGAUAUGUGGAGGAACACCGAUGGCGAAGGCAGCCCCCUGGGUCAAAACUGACGCUCAUGCACGAAAGCGUGGGGAGCAAACAGG
rnacentral:rRNA from 1 species